rnacentral:rRNA from 1 species
GACGAACCGUGCAAACGUUGUUCGGAAUCACUGGGCUUAAAGAGCGUGUAGGCGGCCAGACAAGUCUGCUGUGAAAACUCGAGGCUCAACCUCGAGCUGUCGGUGGAAACUGUCUGGCUAGAGUCCGGAAGAGGAGAGUGGAAUUCCUGGUGUAGCGGUGAAAUGCGCAGAUAUCAGGAAGAACACCUAUGGCGAAGGCAGCUCUCUGGGACGGUACUGACGCUGAGACGCGAAAGCGUGGGGAGCGAACAGG